rnacentral:misc_RNA from 1 species
CUUAAGACUCUUCUCUGAAGCAGAACAAGUCAAAUCAGCCAAAGCUUAUGAGCCAUCCAGGCUUUUUUUUCACUCUGAGUUAAUCCCUUCUUCACCGAGGCAACCACUCCAAGGUUCUCUAUACCUCCAUCCACAGGCGAAGAAUGAGCAUACAAAUCUCCGCAUCAAUAAGACUCCAAAUUUGGUGAAUUUAUGGUCCAAAAAUACCGUCACGCACAUUACAAAUGACUUUGAUGAAUCAGACGUUGAUA